UGGGGAAUAUUGCACAAUGGGCGCAAGCCUGAUGCAGCCAUGCCGCGUGUAUGAAGAAGGCCUUCGGGUUGUAAAGUACUUUCAGCGGGGAGGAAGGGAGUAAAGUUAAUACCUUUGCUCAUUGACGUUACCCGCAGAAGAAGCACCGGCUAACUCCGUGCCAGCAGCCGCGGUAAUACGGAGGGUGCAAGCGUUAAUCGGAAUUACUGGGCGUAAAGCGCACGCAGGCGGUUGAUUGAGUCAGAUGUGAAAUCCCCGGGCUUAACCCGGGAAUUGCAUCUGAUACUGGUCAGCUAGAGUCUUGUAGAGGGGGGUAGAAUUCCAUGUGGAGCGGUGAAAUGCGUAGAGAUGUGGAGGAAUACCGGUGGCGAAGGCGGCCCCCUGGACAAAGACUGACGCUCAGGUGCGAAAGCGUGGGGAGCAAACAGG
rnacentral:rRNA from 1 species